rnacentral:snRNA from 1 species
GUACAUAUACGAGUACUAAACAAUCGAAACGAUAAAGAGAAGAUUAGCAUGGCCCUUGUGAAGCAGAAAAUCAUGAAGUAUUCCACAAUUGA